rnacentral:rRNA from 1 species
AGUUUGAUCCUGGCUCAGGACGAACGCUGGCGGCGUGCUAAUACAUGCAAGUCGAGCGGACAGAUGGGAGCUUGCUCCCUGAUGUUAGCGGCGGACGGGUGAGUAACACGUGGGUAACCUGCCUGUAAGACUGGGAUAACUCCGGGAAACCGGGGCUAAUACCGGAUGGUUGUUUGAACCGCAUGGUUCAGACAUAAAAGGUGGCUUCGGCUACCACUUACAGAUGGACCCGCGGCGCAUUAGCUAGUUGGUGAGGUAACGGCUCACCAAGGCGACGAUGCGUAGCCGACCUGAGAGGGUGAUCGGCCACACUGGGACUGAGACACGGCCCAGACUCCUACGGGAGGCAGCAGUAGGGAAUCUUCCGCAAUGGACGAAAGUCUGACGGAGCAACGCCGCGUGAGUGAUGAAGGUUUUCGGAUCGUAAAGCUCUGUUGUUAGGGAAGAACAAGUGCCGUUCAAAUAGGGCGGCACCUUGACGGUACCUAACCAGAAAGCCACGGCUAACUACGUGCCAGCAGCCGCGGUAAUACGUAGGUGGCAAGCGUUGUCCGGAAUUAUUGGGCGUAAAGGGCUCGCAGGCGGUUUCUUAAGUCUGAUGUGAAAGCCCCCGGCUCAACCGGGGAGGGUCAUUGGAAACUGGGGAACUUGAGUGCAGAAGAGGAGAGUGGAAUUCCACGUGUAGCGGUGAAAUGCGUAGAGAUGUGGAGGAACACCAGUGGCGAAGGCGACUCUCUGGUCUGUAACUGACGCUGAGGAGCGAAAGCGUGGGGAGCGAACACGAUUAGAUACCCUGGUAGUCC